rnacentral:rRNA from 1 species
GAUGAACGCUGGCGGCGUGCCUAAUACAUGCAAGUCGAGCGAACAGAUGAGGAGCUUGCUCCUCUGACGUUAGCGGCGGACGGGUGAGUAACACGUGGAUAACCUACCUAUAAGACUGGGAUAACUUCGGGAAACCGGAGCUAAUACCGGAUAAUAUAUUGAACCGCAUGGUUCAAUAGUGAAAGACGGUUUUGCUUUCACUUAUAGAUGGAUCCGCGCCUCAUUAGCUAGUUGGUAAGGUAACGGCUUACCAAGGCAACGAUGCGUAGCCGACCUGAGAGGGUGAUCGGCCACACUGGAACUGAGACACGGUCCAGACUCCUACGGGAGGCAGCAGUAGGGAAUCUUCCGCAAUGGGCGAAAGCCUGACGGAGCAACGCCGCGUGAGUGAUGAAGGUCUUCGGAUCGUAAAACUCUGUUAUUAGGGAAGAACAAAUGUGUAAGUAACUAUGCACGUCUUGACGGUACCUAAUCAGAAAGCCACGGCUAACUACGUG